CCUACGUGCGGCUGCAGUGAGGAAUGUUGGUCAAUGGGCGCGAGCCUGAACCAGCCAAGUAGCGUGAAGGAUGACUGCCCUACGGGUUGUAAACUUCUUUUAUAAAGGAAUACAGUGAGGCACGUGUGCCUUUUUGUAUGUACUUUAUGAAUAAGGAUCGGCUAACUCCGUGCCAGCAGCCGCGGUAAUACGGAGGAUCCGAGCGUUAUCCGGAUUUAUUGGGUUUAAAGGGAGCGUAGAUGGGUUGUUAAGUCAGUUGUGAAAGUUUGCGGCUCAACCGUAAAAUUGCAAUUGAUACUGGCAGUCUUGAGUACAGUUGAGGUAGGCGGAAUUCGUGGUGUAGCGGUGAAAUGCUUAGAUAUCACGAAGAACUCCGAUUGCGAAGGCAGCUUACUAAACUGCCACUGACAUUGAUGCUCGAAAGUGUGGGUAUCAAACAGGAUUAGAUACCCUUGUAGUC
rnacentral:rRNA from 1 species